rnacentral:hammerhead_ribozyme from 1 species
AUUCAACUGACGAGUCCCAAAUAAGACGAAACGCAUCUAACUGAAU